rnacentral:rRNA from 1 species
UGAACGCUAGCGGCAGGCCUAACACAUGCAAGUCGAGGGGCAGCAUAAAACAAGCUUGCUUGUUUGGUGGCGACCGGCGCACGGGUGCGUAACGCGUAUGCAACCUACCUUAUACUGGGGUAUAGCCCGGAGAAAUUCGGAUUAAUCCCCCAUAGUAUUAUCUAUUGGCAUCAAUUAAUAAUUAAAGUUCCAACGGUAUAAGAUGGGCAUGCGUCCUAUUAGCUAGAUGGUGAGGUAAUGGCUCACCAUGGCUACGAUAGGUAGGGGGCCUGAGAGGGUAGUCCCCCACGCUGGUACUGAGACACGGACCAGACUCCUACGGGAGGCAGCAGUGAGGAAUAUUGGUCAAUGGGCGCAAGCCUGAACCAGCCAUGCCGCGUGAAGGAAGAAGGUUCUAUGGAUUGUAAACUUCUUUAUUUAGGAAUAAACCUCUCGACGUGUCGGGAGCUGAAGGUACUAAAUGAAUAAGCACCGGCUAACUCCGUGCCAGCAG